AUGUCCACCUCCCGCUGUCCCCACAGUGUGGACGUGUCCCAAGUCCCACCUGAGCCUGGAGAACGGCCAGGUGACCACUUUGGGGCCACCACCACACAUCCAUCUUGGGGCUCACCAACGUCCANAACAUCUCCAUGUUGUCACCAUCCCAUCAAUAUCUCCAUCGUGUCAUUAUCCCAUCAACAUCUCCAUCUCAUCAAGGUCACCAUCCCAUCAACAUCUCCAUCUUCUGUCCAUCCCAUCAUUGUCACCAUCUCCUCAAUGUCUCCAUCAUUGUCUCCAUCCUAUCAAGGUUCUCGUUCCAUCUUGUCUCCAUCCCAUCGAUGUCUCCAUCCCAUGAAGUUCUUCAUCCCAUCAACAUCUCCAUCGUUGUCACCAUCCCCAUCAAUGUCUCCAUCAAUGUCUCCAUCCCAUCAACAUCUCCAUCAUGGUCACCAUCCCAUCAACAUCUCCAUCAAGGUUCUCAUUCCAUCUUGUCACCAUCCCAUGAUUGUCCCCAUCCCAUCAAUUUCUCCAUCAUUGUCUCCAUCCCAUCAAUGUCUCCAUCCCAUCAUCUCCAUCCCAUCAUCUCCACCCCAUCAAUGUCUCCAUCCCAUCAUCUCCAUCCCAUCAACGUCUCCAUCGUGUCACCAUCUCAUCAAGGUCAACAUCCCAUCAACGUCUCCAUCCCAUCAUCUCCAUCCCAUCAUGUCACCAUCUCAUCAAGGUCACCAUCUCAUCAACAUCUCCAUCCCAUCACCACCCUAAGCCUGACCAUCAUCAUCAUCACCUUGACCACCACCAUGUCCAUCAACAUCACCUUGACCAUGUCCAUGACCAUCACUUGACCAUCACCGUCACCUUGACCAUGUCCAUGACCAUCACUUGACCACCACCAUGUCCAUCACCGUCACCUUGACCAUGGCUAAGACCAUGAUGGCCACGCCUGGAGAAUGGCCAGGUGACCGCUUUGGGGUUGACCAACGUCGGUUUUGGGGCCACCACCCAACAUCCACUUUGGGGCCACCACCAACAUCAAUUUUGGGGCCACCACCCAACGUCCGUAUUGAGGUUCACCAAAGUCCAUUUUGGGGUUCACCAACGUCCAUUUUGGGGUCACCACCCAACGUCCAUUUUGGGGCCACCACCUGAGGUCCACUUUGAGGUUCUCUGACCUCCACUUUUUGAGGCCACCACUCCAUGUCCACCAUGCUGACCCCACAAAUGUCCACCCCACAGUGCGGACGUGUCCCAAGUCCCACCUGAGCCUGGAGAACGGCCAGGUGACCACUUUGGGGCCA
rnacentral:lncRNA from 1 species